rnacentral:rRNA from 1 species
CACGUAGGGCGCAAGCGUUGUCCGGAAUUAUUGGGCGUAAAGAGCUCGUAGGCGGUCUGUUGCGUCCGCUGUGAAAACCCGGGGCUUAACCCCUGGCUUGCAGUGGAUACGGACAGACUAGAGGUAGGUAGGGGAGAAUGGAAUUCCCGGUGUAGCGGUGAAAUGCGCAGAUAUCAGGAAGAACACCCGUGGCGAAGGCGGCUCUCUGGGACGGUACUGACGCUGAGACGCGAAAGCGUGGGGAGCGAACAGG